AGAGUUUGAUCCUGGCUCAGAUUGAACGCUGGCGGCAGGCCUAACACAUGCAAGUCGAACGGUAACAGAAAGCAGCUUGCUGCUUUGCUGACGAGUGGCGGACGGGUGAGUAAUGUCUGGGAAACUGCCUGAUGGAGGGGGAUAACUACUGGAAACGGUAGCUAAUACCGCAUAACGUCGCAAGACCAAAGAGGGGGACCUUCGGGCCUCUUGCCAUCGGAUGUGCCCAGAUGGGAUUAGCUUGUUGGUGGGGUAACGGCUCACCAAGGCGACGAUCCCUAGCUGGUCUGAGAGGAUGACCAGCCACACUGGAACUGAGACACGGUCCAGACUCCUACGGGAGGCAGCAGUGGGGAAUAUUGCACAAUGGGCGCAAGCCUGAUGCAGCCAUGCCGCGUGUAUGAAGAAGGCCUUCGGGUUGUAAAGUACUUUCAGCGGGGAGGAAGGGAGUAAAGUUAAUACCUUUGCUCAUUGACGUUACCCGCAGAAGAAGCACCGGCUAACUCCGUGCCAGCAGCCGCGGUAAUACGGAGGGUGCAAGCGUUAAUCGGAAUUACUGGGCGUAAAGCGCACGCAGGCGGUUUGUUAAGUCAGAUGUGAAAUCCCCGGGCUCAACCUGGGAACUGCAUCUGAUACUGGCAAGCUUGAGUCUCGUAGAGGGGGGUAGAAUUCCAGGUGUAGCGGUGAAAUGCGUAGAGAUCUGGAGGAAUACCGGUGGCGAAGGCGGCCCCCUGGACGAAGACUGACGCUCAGGUGCGAAAGCGUGGGGAGCAAACAGGAUUAGAUACCCUGGUAGUCCACGCCGUAAACGAUGUCGACUUGGAGGUUGUGCCCUUGAGGCGUGGCUUCCGGAGCUAACGCGUUAAGUCGACCGCCUGGGGAGUACGGCCGCAAGGUUAAAACUCAAAUGAAUUGACGGGGGCCCGCACAAGCGGUGGAGCAUGUGGUUUAAUUCGAUGCAACGCGAAGAACCUUACCUGGUCUUGACAUCCACAGAACUUUCCAGAGAUGGAUUGGUGCCUUCGGGAACUGUGAGACAGGUGCUGCAUGGCUGUCGUCAGCUCGUGUUGUGAAAUGUUGGGUUAAGUCCCGCAACGAGCGCAACCCUUAUCCUUUGUUGCCAGCGGUCCGGCCGGGAACUCAAAGGAGACUGCCAGUGAUAAACUGGAGGAAGGUGAGGAUGACGUCAAGUCAUCAUGGCCCUUACGACCAGGGCUACACACGUGCUACAAUGGCGCAUACAAAGAGAAGCGACCUCGCGAGAGCAAGCGGACCUCAUAAAGUGCGUCGUAGUCCGGAUUGGAGUCUGCAACUCGACUCCAUGAAGUCGGAAUCGCUAGUAAUCGUGGAUCAGAAUGCCACGGUGAAUACGUUCCCGGGCCUUGCACUCAACGCCCGUCA
rnacentral:rRNA from 1 species